UGGCUAGAAAGUGGUAGGGUUCAUGCGAGAACCACCUUUAUUGCGAGAACCGCGAGAACCAAUGUGAACAGGGGGCAAUUUUGUAAAUACCAAACAUUUUUGAAAAACACGCUUACCUGCGUUUCCCUUUACCAUCGGACUUCAACAUAAAUUAAAUUACAUUGAAUCAAAACUUUCACGUCCACUAUCAUCUAAACUGUGAUUCAAUCAAAAUAUCUCAACAUUUUUCAACCUGAUUCUCUCAACAAUUCAUCGCUUACAAUCGUUUUCAUAAUCGUCCCUGAUACAUCAUCACUUCACCAUCAUCCGUUCACCAUAUCGAAGCAUCUGGAUUCAGAUUGUAUCUCAGAUUUGGGAUUUUACCAGCAGAUAUUUCAUAUUUCGUCAUAUAAUCGAGUCAAGGGAUGAAGGGUCAUCAAGAAUGCCUGGCGCAACACCCGGACGCAACACGGAAGACGAAUAUGAGAAUGUUAAACAAAAAGAUCAACAAUGGAAGAACAUCGAAGAAAGUAACUUUUUUUUUUGAAACCAAGGGAAGAAAGGUCAAAUAAAAUGUCGGAUGGAAUGGAAUAUGAUUACGCGACGGUUAAACAAAAAGGUGCGCAAUAAGAAAUAAACACAAAAAGGCGGGCAAUUAAGCGAACUCGUGAUGAAACAUAAAAAAAAGGGAGGUGAUGGAGUGCGUGCGAUAAAGAACAAAAAAGUUGGCAAGAUCAACGAUAACGGCGACAGUUGAUACUGAUGACCAUAUGUUUUAUUCAUAUUCAACAUAGGGUAUCCAAUAUAGCGUGUCGUUAGGUUUAGAAUGUAAAAUAGUUGUAAU